rnacentral:rRNA from 1 species
AACGAACGCUGGCGGCAUGCCUAACACAUGCAAGUCGAACGAGACCUUCGGGUCUAGUGGCGCACGGGUGCGUAACGCGUGGGAACCUGCCCUUAGGUUCGGAAUAACUCCCCGAAAGGGGUGCUAAUACCGGAUAAUGUCUUCGGACCAAAGAUUUAUCGCCUUUGGAUGGGCCCGCGUUGGAUUAGCUAGUUGGUAGGGUAAAAGCCUACCAAGGCGACGAUCCAUAGCUGGUCGGAGAGGAUGAUCAGCCACACUGGGACUGAGACACGGCCCAGACUCCUACGGGAGGCAGCAGUGGGGAAUAUUGGACAAUGGGCGAAAGCCUGAUACAGCAAUGCCGCGUGAGUGAUGAAGGCCUUAGGGUUGUAAAGCUCUUUUACCCGGGAUGAUAAUGACAGUACCGGGAGAAUAAGCUCCGGCUAACUACGUG